rfam:Bacillus sp. FJAT-21945 super3, whole genome shotgun sequence.
AAGAUGUUCCGCUGCAAUUGGAAGAAAUGAUGUGCAAGAGCAUCUG